UUGAGCUUCAUUGGUCUAUGAAUUGUACCUUAGGUAUUCCCAGCUUUUGGGCUAAUAUCCACUUAUCAGUGAGUGCAUACCAUGUGUGUUCUUUUGUGACUGGGUUACCUCACUUAGGAUGUUAUUUUCUAGUUCCAUCCAUUUGCCUAAGAAUUUCAUGAAUUCAUUGUUUUUAAUAGCUGAGUAGUACUCCAUUAUGUAAAUGUACCACAUUUUCUGUAUCUAGUCCUCUGUUGAGGGACAACUGAGUUCUUUCCAGUGUGGUCUAAUUCCUAGGCACCUUUUCACUUUCAUGAGAGUAUAAACAUUUUAAAUUUUGAGUAAGUCUUCACUAGUUCUUUUUUUUUUUUUUUUUGCUUGUUUGUUUUGUUUUUUAAAUCUUUGUUGCCUAUGCUUUAAGUGGUAUACCUAAGAAAACUUUCUCCUAAUAUAUUGGGCUUCAAUUAUAUGUUCAUAUCCCUGCUCUUAUUUUCUUUACAUGUACAUAGAGCAGAAUUGCCUGGUCAUAGUAAUUCCUUCUUAGCUUUUUAAAGACCUCCUACGCUGCUUUCACAGAGAAUGACUGUUUCACAUUCUUACUAGCAAUGGCUAAGGCUUUUCCCACAAUCUCACCAACACUUACCGUUUUCUGUUCUUUUAAUUAGAGCCAUCUUAGGGAUGAAGUAGUGCCUCAGUUGUAGUUUUAAUUUGUAUUUCAUCAGUAAUUACUGAUGUAAGGAGAUUUAAGCACAUCAUACUUAUUGAACAUUUCUAUCCGAGUCCUUUUUUUUCUUUCUUUCUUUCGCUCCUUUUUUCAGUGCUAGAGGUGGAAACCAGGGCUUCAUGCAUUUUAGGCACGUGCUCCACUUGGGUACUGAGCCAUAUCCAAAAUCUUUGGUUAGGUUGUUUGACUUUUUGUUGGCUUGUAGGAGUUCUUUGCAUUUCAAUACAAAACCCUUAUCAAAUAUGUGAUUUCCAAAUAUUUCUUCCCACUGAAUAAAGUUUUGUUGUUUUGACUUGGUUCGGUUUGGUUUGGUUUGAUUGGUUGGUUUUUUGAGGCAGUGUCUCAUUUUGUUGUCCCUGAUGGCCUGCAACUCACUAUGUAGAUCAGGCUGGGCACAGAGAUCUGCCUGCCUCUGCCUUUCCAAGUGCUGCAAUAAAAGAUAGUAUCACUAUGCCCAACUUUACUUUAACUUUUUGAUAAUAUCAAAUAUACAAGUGUUCUUAAUUUUGGUGAAAUCUAGUCUGUUUAGUAUCUCCUUUCAUUACUUGGUAUUUUGUUAUUCUGAGAGUCGAUGGCCAACUAAAGUAAUGAAGAUUUACUCUUAGACUUUCUUCUAACAGCUUCAUGGUUAUAGUCAUUCAUUUUGAGUACAUUUUUGUAUAUGGUGUGUGAUAGGGACCCACCUUCAUUUUUUUCCAUGUGGAUAUCUGUUUGUUCUGCUCUGUGUAUUGAAGAGACCAUAGUGUCCCAUGGUGUCUUCCCACUACAACCACUGUACUCCCUGCUCCCUCUUGAACCUGCAGUAUUUACUUCAGUUGGCUCCUUUCUCUCCCUUCUUCCCUGGCCCCUCCUCAACCAAACUUCAUUUCUCCUCUAGGAUGAUGCCCUAAAUUUUCCUUUGCUACAUCAGUCUCUUCUUUCUUAAUAAUUCCUGAAUUUGUAGCAAGUAACGAUGUUGUCUCAUUCUCCUACAUUCUGGUAUAAGAUGACCACAUUUAGAGUAUUAUCUCUAGUAAUAGGAUUACUCAACAAACUCAAUAUGCAGUUGGUUGACUUUUUAGAAUAUCUAUGGAGCUGAACAGCCAUCACUUAAUCCAGUACAUUUCAGCACACUGAAAUCACUUAGCCAGAAACUUCUCCACUCUCCCAAGUCUAAGGGGAACAUGUUCAUCAGAUGUUUAUGGCAGAAAACUGCCUUUUUGAAUUCAAGUCUUCUUUGAUGUGCCUUUCCUAAGUAGAGCUAGUUACCUCUGCAAUAUCUAAAGGAAAAUACAGAUAAUCCAGGUCUUUCAGCCUUUACCCUUAGCAUUUUCCCCUAAAGGAUUAUAUAGAACCCUUGUAAAGUCUGUUGUUGGUUUAAAUUGUUUUUAAGACUAAUAAACGAUGGCAAG
rnacentral:lncRNA from 1 species